rnacentral:tRNA from 1 species
UGCCGAGGAGUGGAACGGAAAACCACGCUGGCCUUAUAAGCCUGAAAUAUCGGGUUCGACUCCCGUCUUGACUA